GCGUGCUUAACCCCAUGCAAGUCGAGCGGUAAGGCCCUUUCGGGGGUCCCCGAGCGCGAACGGGUGAGUAACACGUGGGUGACCUGCCCUCCACUCUGGGAUAAGCCCGGGAAACUGGGUCUAAUACCGGAUAGGACCAUUGAUCGCAUGGUUGGUGGUGGAAAGUUUUUUCGGUGGGGGAUGGGCCCGCGGCCUAUCAGCUUGUUGGUGGGGUGAUGGCCUACCAAGGCGGUGACGGGUAGCCGGCCUGAGAGGGCGACCGGCCACACUGGGACUGAGACACGGCCCAGACUCCUACGGGAGGCAGCAGUGGGGAAUAUUGCGCAAUGGGCGGAAGCCUGACGCAGCGACGCCGCGUGGGGGAUGACGGCCUUCGGGUUGUAAACCUCUUUCGCCAGGGACGAAGAGCAAUUGACGGUACCUGGAGAAGAAGCACCGGCCAACUACGUGCCAGCAGCCGCGGUAACACGUAGGGUGCGAGCGUUGUCCGGAAUUAUUGGGCGUAAAGAGCUCGUAGGCGGUGUGUCGCGUCGGCCGUGAAAACUUGGGGCUUAACUCUGAGCGUGCGGUCGAUACGGGCAUCACUUGAGUUCGGCAGGGGAGACUGGAAUUCCUGGUGUAGCGGUGAAAUGCGCAGAUAUCAGGAGGAACACCGGUGGCGAAGGCGGGUCUUUUGGCCGAUACUGACGCUGAGGAAGCGAAAGCGUGGGGAGCGAACAGGAUAAAUACCCUG
rnacentral:rRNA from 1 species